rnacentral:rRNA from 1 species
AGAGUUUGAUCCUGGCUCAGGACGAACGCUGGCGGCGUGCCUAAUACAUGCAAGUAGAACGCUGAAGAGAGGAGCUUGCUCUUCUUGGAUGAGUUGCGAACGGGUGAGUAACGCGUAGGUAACCUGCCUGGUAGCGGGGGAUAACUAUUGGAAACGAUAGCUAAUACCGCAUAAUAUUAAUUAUUGCAUGAUAAUUAAUUGAAAGAUGCAACUGCAUCACUACCAGAUGGACCUGCGUUGUAUUAGCUAGUUGGUGAGGUAACGGCUCACCAAGGCGACGAUACAUAGCCGACCUGAGAGGGUGAUCGGCCACACUGGGACUGAGACACGGCCCAGACUCCUACGGGAGGCAGCAGUAGGGAAUCUUCGGCAAUGGACGGAAGUCUGACCGAGCAACGCCGCGUGAGUGAAGAAGGUUUUCGGAUCGUAAAGCUCUGUUGUAAGAGAAGAACGGGUGUGAGAGUGGAAAGUUCACACUGUGACGGUAUCUUACCAGAAAGGGACGGCUAACUACGUGCCAGCAGCCGCGGUAAUACGUAGGUCCCGAGCGUUGUCCGGAUUUAUUGGGCGUAAAGCGAGCGCAGGCGGUUAGAUAAGUCUGAAGUUAAAGGCUGUGGCUUAACCAUAGUAUGCUUUGGAAACUGUUUAACUUGAGUGCAGAAGGGGAGAGUGGAAUUCCAUGUGUAGCGGUGAAAUGCGUAGAUAUAUGGAGGAACACCAGUGGCGAAAGCGGCUCUCUGGUCUGUCACUGACGCUGAGGCUCGAAAGCGUGGGUAGCGAACAGGAUUAGAUACCCUGGUAGUCCACGCCGUAAACGAUGAGUGCUAGGUGUUAGGCCCUUUCCGGGGCUUAGUGCCGCAGCUAACGCAUUAAGCACUCCGCCUGGGGAGUACGACCGCAAGGUUGAAACUCAAAGGAAUUGACGGGGGCCCG